AUCAACAGCUUUGCUUUUGGCAAAGUGAAAGCAGAUUUGGAGUGAUACCUGAGUUGGAUCCUGGCUCUUCCAACUACUCACUGUCUGACUUUAAAUUCAGCCUUUAAAAAACGUUGGCACUCUCCAAAGGCAGCAUGACCUUAGAGGAGCAUGAAUGAACUCCUUCAUGUUUUCUACUGUCAGGAGAAGACAGACCUGAAGUGGUGCCUUGAUAUACGCACAUUCUGCCAGACUACAGUAAGAUGUGACAGGCAUAUAUUGUCAGAACAAGGGCUGCACUCAAACUUUGAAAAGAUAUUGGCUCCACUUAUUAAUGAUCAAGACUUAAAAUAUCCUGGAGUUUGGCUGUUGUAAGAGGUUUAUGGGAAACUAUUCUAGGCUUGCCAAACCACCAAGUGACUUCACAGGUACAAAACAUGGAUGCCCCAAGAACAGGAGAAGAACCCCCACUAGGGGGAGCUGGAGAUGGACUUUUAGGACCUUGGUGGUCUCUGUGAUGUGUUAUCCUGUCCUGGCAUUCAAUACCCUGGUGAACCCACAAGUGCUAAAUUUGAAGGCUAUGGGGGUCAGGAUAGCUGACCCCUCAGCUUUUGUUGGUCCCUGGGCUGUUAGUUUCAGCUCAACAUGGUGAUCCAUUCUUCUUGCCCGAUGGCCAAAGAAGGGUGUCUCCUGGGAGCCUCUGGGAAAGCUUUCAUUCCUUUGAACAAAACGGAUACAAGAAGAAGACAGCCCCUCGGAAGCCUAGCUGAGGACAGAGCCCACCCAGUGACAGGGUGGAGCAGAGAGGCCACAGAACCCGGACCACUGCUGACGCUGUUGAUCUGGAGCUUGUAUUGCUCAUGGAGUCCACCCCACCAUGGCAUCUGUUAUGUGAGAUAACUCUGUGGGCUGUUCUGGAGCCAAGGGAGGGACCAAAGGGGAAAAUAGGGGGCACCAGCCCAAAGGGACCCAGACCUUCUCCAAGGACAUUCAGAUUUUGCUUUGAGUCUACAAAAACUAGAACUUUCUACAGAACCUGGAAUGCCACAGAGGAAACAAUCCCACCCGGGGAGUCAGAGAACCUUAGAGCCAAUAUGGCCCUAAGGUUAAUUCCAGUGGCGGAGGAAGCCAUGUCUGAAUGGGAGCCUCAGCUGGCCGCCCGUGUAAGCAGCUUCUCUGAGACCUUGCAGAGGAGUGAAGACCUGGAGGGGGUGCUCAUGCACUCCUUGCUUUUGGAACCAGAGAAUUGGAGCCCAGGGAACAUUCUGGAGGUGCCAGGUCACACCACCCAUUCUUCACAGGGUUCUCCCACAGCCAGAUGCUAUGGGAGAGGCCCAUCUCAGUAUGUGGGUGCUGGGAGGCCGAGAUAGAACUCCCCCGACCAAAGGAGAGACUCAGACUGACUGCACGGUACCCCUCAGCUGGCAGUUCUGUAAUGGUGCGCAAGUUGUUUACUCUCAGUUUUCUCUUUUUAAAAAAAGGAUAUUAAUGUGGAUCUGUUGUAAAAUUUAGAUGAGAUAAUGUAUGUAAAUCACUCGUAAUGUGCUCAGAACAUAGUAAACGCUCCAUUUUCAACGACAACAGUGACAACAACACAGGCACCCAGGGCCACUCCUCGGCUGCCAAGGAGAGCCACUGAGCUCUCCUAACCGUGCAGGGGCCCCUCAAGCCUGAAUGGACGGAUCCGUGAAGCCAACACAUGGCUGUCUUGGUAUGCGCCUGUAACUCCACCCAAAAGCUCUUUUUUGGAGUUUGGGAUGGAGCCUCAUAGCUCGUUGAUGAGCUUAGCUGACCUGUGAGGUUUCGUCUGGGUUUGAGGGUGGCCAAGAAUGACCACUUAGGUCCUACUCCAAGUUCUUUCAUUUGGGUCUACUCCCAAAGCAGCUGGAAGCGGUGCAAAGGAUGGAAAUGAGACAACGGUACAUCCACUGGGUGGCUGCUGCUCCCUGUGGCCUCUUCUGUCAAUUCACGGAGAAGCACUCCCCAGAGUCUGGUGACGUUGGCAGCCAGUGAGGAGCAAGAUGUCUGCCUGACCGGAGGAGCACUGAGCUGCAGGUUCGCUGCCUCUCUACCUCGGCCACAUCACACCCAGGUCUAAAGGCCAAGCCUUGAAAUUCUUCCUGUGUCAGCCUUGGAGCCGUCAGCCCUUGUCUGUACCUGUGCUGCACGCAGGAGGUUGUUAGUCCAUCAGGAGCCUUAUGAAUUGUUAGAAGAUCCCCCUUCCUCUGGGCAGAUGCAGACCUGGGUCAGGGCACAGCGCGCCACGCUAAGCCUGUGCAGGGCUGAAGCUGCACGACCACCUGUGCAGCCGUGGCUGCAGCCCUGGGAGUCCCCAUCUCUGUGCGGGGCCCGCUGCAGUGACCUCUGCCUUGGGGUGGGCAAAGGAAGUGGGCUUCCCUCGGUGUGAAGCCGGACAUAUGGGCACACUCUAGGGAUCUUCCUACUUAGCCACCGUUGCUGUUUGCUGUCAGAGCAGACCCAAAUCUGAUACCAGGAGCUGCAUGAAGGAGACAGAUCACUGAUCUGGAACAUGGGACUGCCUGCUGAACAUCAAAUUAGCAGACUCCUGACCAAAGGCAGGAGAGACGGGGGACGUGACUGUGUACAAGGACAGACAGAGAUCGGGAGAGGGCCAGUCAAAUGUGAAGCAUCUGCUCUCUUCUCUGUCUAGCAUCUCUUCAGGGAACUACCUUCCUUCGAUUCUCAGUCCAUGAAGUUCAGAUGAAGCCCACCUCACCCCCAGCACCAAGGGUGGAUCUGUGAUAUGUACAUCAUAUCUAUGUGCGCAUAUCCUUUGGCCACCAGCAUUGGUUUAGGGUUAGGCACAUUACCCAAGCCAGGCUACUCAGCCUUGUCUGAGAUAUUUCCUGGAACUAGCAAAAAAGAUGACCCCACCCCACAUGGCCGCUGAUGGAAUCAUUAGCUGGGAAAAUGAUGUAAGUUUAGAGCAGCCAAUGGCUAUCCUUGCUAUUACAUGAGGAAGGAGAGUCAGCCUGAGCAUGAAGUCAAUCCUGAGAAAGCAGAGAAUAAAGGUAAAGAGUAAGAGGACUCUAAUGAUAUAUUUUGGACUCCUGGAUCCUGCUGUACCUGAAGUCAUUUAUUCCUAGACUUCUCCCUUCUUUCACUUUCUUUUCUUUCCCUCUGUUUACUCUCUCUCUCCCUUUCUUCUUUUGGUUGAAAUUUGUUUGAAUGUUUUUGUUACUUGCAACUGAAAGAACCUGACCAGUAAACAAUGUAUGCACUGAACUAACUUAUUGUGAUAGGGAAGUUGGUAAAGGGCCAUCUGUGUUCACUUAAACCCAGGCCUGGCAGGGAGGAAGCAGAGAGAAACUCCCAAGAAAAACUUAGGAAAUGAAGCUUUUGACUCUCCAAGUAACAGAGAAAGAGAGUGGAGUGGAGACUCGCAGUGAGAGGUGAGGACACAUUGGAUUGGGAGGGAUGGACCACCCAUCCUUCUAGGCUUUGUCCUGUGAGAUGCCCUUGAACUAGGCCAUUUCCCAGGGAGGACUUGGAGAUACAUGGGAGACCAGGAGAACUUGGGAGAGGAGAUGACCCAAAGACUAGAGAGGCAAGAGGCUAGUCCAGCGUGGGGUCUGUCUCCAAGCCCCUCAGGGCGUGCUGCACCUCGACCCCUGUUAGUGCUGGGGGGCCGGGAGAGCCCCAUUUCUCCACUUCCUUACAACCUCAGGCUCAGGCACGUUGAUGUUCUGUGGCCCACCACAUCCCUCACGUUUGCUUUGGAGAGACUGCACCAAAUUCUCAGUGGGGUCUCCCCUGUUACAUAUAAAUAGUGCUGCUGUAAACCCUCUCUCUGCAUAUCUCUGGCCAUUUUCCUAUGGUAAACUUCUAGAAGUGGAACUUGCUAGGUCAAAGGUUAUGAACAUUAUUAAAGUUUUUGAUUCUUAUUCCAGGAGGAAAUAUUACCCAUUACUAGAAGAGACAGAAAAAGUUCCUGCCCUUGUCAACUAGGAGAGGGCUGAUGGCCCAUAACUAAUGUAAGAGGUGACCUGUUUUUCAGAAAAACAGAGCCACGUCACAAUGUCUGUAAUAAAUUAAAUUAAGACCGUAAAAUGUGGUGUGGGUGCAGCAGAUCACAUGGCAUUAAACAAAUUGGACUGCCUGGUUCCCUGGAGAUACACGGGACAGAAAGCAGCAGAGGGACGUAAUGGGGUUAGCGUGGUGCUUUCCUGGAAGUUGGAAGUGUGGCAGUCGCAGCUGCUGUGGUUGCGUUUACCGAGGGCGACUUCUGUGUAAGUGGGGUUAGGGCCAGAGGAAGGCAAAGAACUAGCAUUUCUCUCUCAGGGAGCUCUGUUCGAUGAGAGGAAUCACCAGCUACAAAUAUAAUUAUCCCAGAAGAGAGAUUUUGUCCUGGUGUAAGUAAGAACAUUCUAACAUUCUAUCAACAGUUGGAAAGGUUCAUGCAUAUGACAGCACUUGGAAGCCAUAAAGCAUUACUGGGGAGGGGUACAGUGCCAGGUACUAAGGAGUCAGAGAGGAAGACGUGGUCCCCAUCUGUAAGGAGCUCCUGGUCUAGUGAACGAUUCCUCUAGGAUGUGAUGAGAGCUGUAACAGAGGAACAUAUAUAGGAGUCCAGUGAUGGCACAAGGUGGGGAGUGAUUAACUUACUUGCUGGAUGAAGAGGUGACAUGACCUGGUUUGUGAAGAACGAGUAGAAGUUUACCAGGUGGGUAGUGAGAGAGAUGCAAGUAGAGUGAGGGGCCUACGUGUGACCUGGGUGGACCCACGAUUUGGAAUGCAAAUAACACGGCCCAGCUAGUCCCCAGAAUAUAGUGCUGCAGGCUCUAUGCAGCGAUAUCAGAUCCAGAAGUCCAGUCUGGGGCCAUCGGAGGCUCCACUCUCCCCAGGUUCCCUCGGACUACUGGUGUUGAGAACAGACCACGUUGGUCGUGGCUAGGUGGGCUCCUUGCAGCAGGGGCUGCCGUUAAUGAGGAGGAGUCAGCCCGGGCCAGAUAGUCCUCAGGGCAGAAGCUGGGCAAAUUUGGAGGCGUGUCAAAAGACGAGGGGACUGGAGCCAAGUCUUGCCCUGAGAGUGUGUCUGAAGCACGGGAUCCCUGUGCUACUAGCUAGACUGGUCAGAAUUCCCUGUUUAAAACUCUUUCGGUUUUUCCGCGCGGCGACUUCCACCGGGCGCUCGGCUGCCGGCCCUAGUGGUGCACAGUGCACGGAUGCCGCCCGUGGACGCCUGUGUUAGUUUCCUGGAGCUGCUGUGACAAAGUACCACAAACUGGGUAGCUUAAAACAGAAAUUUAUUGUCUCACGGUUGUGGAGAAAUCCGCAGGGCCAUGCUCCCUCUAGAAUCUGUAGGGGACCGCUCCUUGCCUCUUCCUAGCUUCUGGUGACUUGCCCGCAAUCUUUGUCAUUCCUUGGACUGUCAACGCAUCACUCUGACCCUCUCCCCUCACAUGGCGUUCUCCCUGUGUCUCUCUGGGCCUUCACACAGCCGUCUCUUUAUAAGGACACCAGUCAUAUUGGACUAAGGGGCGGCUCUACUCCAGGAUGACCUCCUCUUAAUUAAUUACCCCUGCAAUGACCCUAUUUCCAAAUAAGGCCACAUUCUGAGGUACUGGCGGUGAGGACUUCACCGUGUCUUUUGGGGGACACCGUUCAAACCAUAACAGCAUCUCUUAGAAAUGUGGUGGCAGAGCUUUCAGAUAGCAAGGACCUGAGCUCCCAGCGCUCUGAAGUGCCACUCAGGGGUGACAGCUAGGGGACGUGGUGUUUACAUCUUUCUGCUGGGGAGACCCAAGGCUGCCCAGGAUGGCGGCUGCAGGAAGAUGUGGGCUGCAGGGAGCCGGGCUCUGCCUCGCUGCAGCGAUGUUGCUCUAGAGGGAGCAGGUAGAGUUGCGUUCCUGUCAAGGGAGCCAUUUGGGGCCCUUUCCCAGUCGUUCUUCAAGGAGAGUGGCUCCCAGUGUAGUGCUCCCUCUGGAACAUUCUCCUUCCUGGACAGGUAAGGAGUGAGGAAGGGAAUAACUAGUUACCCAGUUUGGGGUUUUUUCCCAGAGUUUUCCUGGAUAUUUUUGCUUGCCCAUUAAAAAAAUAAACAUUUUGUGAUCUGAAAUUUAUAGAUGAGCAAAAGGAGAAUUAACAGCAUAAAUAAAAUCGAGUUUUGCCUAGCAGACACAGGGGGUGCCUUUCGAUUUACUCAAGACUUCUUUUGUGCCACUCAGUGGGAGCUGCUCUUUUCAUAUAGUUCUUGCAUGUUGCUUGUUUGCACAAUCUUCUGUCUCUUCGCUUAUUGUCCUAACAGGCAUCCUUUCUCUCAUUCUAUUAUCGAGUCAGUUGUGCUUUGAGUUAUAGGAAAGCUAUUGAUUUUUGCAUAAUAAUCUCGUGCCCAGCCACUUUUCUGAAUUGUCUUAUUGUUUGCAGUAGUUUUCAGUUGAUUCUCUUAUAGUGAUAUAAUGUAGGGACAUAAUGACUACAAUGAUAUAAUGUCU
rnacentral:lncRNA from 1 species